UCUGUCCAGCGGCCAAAGGGGUUGAAAAUCGUACAGAAGGACAAGCCACUUCACCGGAAAGAUGAGUGUAGGAUUCAUCGGAGCGGGCCAGCUGGCUCACGCGCUGGUGAAAGGGUUCACAUCUGCGGGUGUAAUAGCUACUCAGAGAUCAUAGCCAGUUCUCCAGAUACUGAUCUGCCUACUGUUGCUGGCCUGAGGGUAAGGGCAGGAUGUGUGUUUG